rnacentral:rRNA from 1 species
GCUCCAUUAGCGUAUAUUAAAGUUGUUGCAGUUAAAAAGCUCGUAGUUGAAUUUCGGGAUCAAUACGUCGGUCGUGCUUUCGGGUACGUACUGGCGUCAUUGGUUUCUCCCUUCUGACGAACCAUGAUGUCAUUAAUUUGGUGUUAUGGGGAGUUAGGACUGUUACUUUGAAAAAAUUAGAGUGUUUAAAGCAGGCAUUAGCUUGAAUACAUUAGCAUGGAAUAAUGAAAUAGGACGUUCGAUCCUAUUUUGUUGGUUUCUAGGAUCAACGUAAUGAUUAAUAGGGAUAGUUGGGGGCAUUAGUAUUCAAUUGUCAGAGGUGAAAUUCUUGGAUUUAUUGAAGACUAACUACUGCGAAAGCAUUUGCCAAGGAUGUUUUCAUUAAUCAAGAACGAAAGUUAGGGGAUCGAAGACGAUCAGAUACCGUCGUAGUCUUAACCAUAAACUAUGCCGACUAGGGAUCGGAUGAUGUUAAUUUUUUAAUGACUCAUUCGGCGCCUUACGGGAAACCAAAGUG